rnacentral:pre_miRNA from 1 species
AGUAGGAUAGCUGGGUUAAAUGGUGGUUCCAUUCCAAGUUUUCUAAGGAAUCUCCCUACUGCUUUCCAGAGUGGUUGCACCAGUUUGCCAUCCCACCAGCCAU